GGUCUGAGAUCAGGAAGGGUAAUUGUUAAUUCCUCCCCAACAUAGACAGAUUUAAAUUUUCCACUUUUACCACUGUUGGAUAUUGCUACUUCAAAUGUAAAUGCUGCUGGACUAUGACUAUGGCUCUCUCCAUUCUGUGAACUAACUGGGAGAUUCCAGGACAGAACGGCUGAUCUUGCUUGUAUAUCAGAAACUACCGGCUUGCCAAUGCUCAGGUGAGUAUCACACUUCUUGGAUUCCGUGUCAGAUUCUCCCAUUUCUGCAUCUGGACUGCCCUUUGUUUUUCCUAUCUGCUUCUGCUUUAGCGGCCCUCCUGUCCCUUGCUGUCCCUUUCCAUUUCCGUUCUGAACUGCUGCACUGGAAGAAUUAUUAACUUUAUGUGGUGAAGAUGGAGGACUGUUGAGCUUAUUGUUAGUGUGACCGCUCG
rnacentral:lncRNA from 1 species